rnacentral:RNase_P_RNA from 1 species
CCAUCAAACCCCGGCGGAGGAAAGUCCGGGCUCCACAGGGCAAAACGCUGGGUAACCCCCAGAGGGAGUGAUCCCUGGAAAGUGCCACAGAAACUAUACCGCCCUGCACCCACUUGUCUUUAAGUUCCGAGUUGAACAUUCGUUAACUCAAAGACAAGUGGGUGCAGGGUAAGGGUGCAACGGUGGGGUAAGAGCCCACCAGUUGUCGCGGUGACGCGACAAGCUCGGUAAACCCCGUUUGGAGCAAGACCAAAUAGGAGAACGCUAGAGGUUGGCCCGACCGAGGUUCUCGGGUAGGUCGCUAGAGGCAGGGAGAAAUCCCUGUCCCAGAUGAAUGACGGUCCAAGCACAGAACCCGGCUUAUUUCCGGCUU